CUAAUAGAAUGCUAUAGAGCCCCCAAAUUGCAACCACGCCGCUUCUCCUGUCUGUUUUUAGAUUGCAUUUCUGCUCCCACAAUCCCUCACACAUUUGUUGACACAGUCAGUGAACUACACACAGCAGAAGAAACAGUAACUCACAGAAGCAGUCUCAUAUAUAAAUGUACACACAGGUAUGUAUUCACACAGGGAGACACAUACACACACACCUAGAAAAUCAGCCACACAGGAAAAGACAUUCACAACUAGAGAUACACACAUUUAGAUAAAUACAAAACUCCAG